UGGGGAAUUUUGGACAAUGGGCGAAAGCCUGAUCCAGCAAUGCCGCGUGUGUGAAGAAGGCCUUCGGGUUGUAAAGCACUUUUGUCCGGAAAGAAAUCCUUGGCUCUAAUACAGUCGGGGGAUGACGGUACCGGAAGAAUAAGCACCGGCUAACUACGUGCCAGCAGCCGCGGUAAUACGUAGGGUGCAAGCGUUAAUCGGAAUUACUGGGCGUAAAGCGUGCGCAGGCGGUUUGCUAAGACCGAUGUGAAAUCCCCGGGCUCAACCUGGGAACUGCAUUGGUGACUGGCAGGCUAGAGUAUGGCAGAGGGGGGUAGAAUUCCACGUGUAGCAGUGAAAUGCGUAGAGAUGUGGGGGAAUACCGAUGGCGAAGGCAGCCCCCUGGGCCAAUACUGACGCUCAUGCACGAAAGCGUGGGGAGCAAACAGGAUUAGAUACCCUGGUAGUCCACGCCCUAAACGAUGUCAACUAGUUGUUGGGGAUUCAUUUCCUUAGUAACGUAGCUAACGCGUGAAGUUGACCGCCUGGGGAGUACGGUCGCAAGAUUAAAACUCAAAUGAAUUGACGGGGUCAUAGCUGUUUCCU
rnacentral:rRNA from 1 species